AUGCAGUCGAGCGGAUGAAGGGAGCUUGCUCCUGGAGUUAGCGGCGGACGGGUGAGUAAAGCCUAGGAAUCUGCCUGGUAGUGGGGGACAACGACUCGAAAGGGUCGCUAAUACCGCAUACGUCCUACGGGAGAAAGUGGGGGAUCUUCGGACCUCACGCUAUCAGAUGAGCCUAGGUCGGAUUAGCUUGUAGGUGAGGUAAUGGCUCACCUAGGCAACGAUCCGUAACUGGUCUGAGAGGAUGAUCAGUCACACUGGAACUGAGACACGGUCCAGACUCCUACGGGAGGCAGCAGUGGGGAAUAUUGGACAAUGGGCGAAAGCCUGAUCCAGCCAUGCCGCGUGUGUGAAGAAGGUCUUCGGAUUGUAAAGCACUUUAAGUUGGGAGGAAGGGUUGUAGUUUAAUACGCUGCAACUUUGACGUUACCAACAGAAUAAGCACCGGCUAACUCUGUGCCAGCAGCCGCGGUAAUACAGAGGGUGCAAGCGUUAAUCGGAAUUACUGGGCGUAAAGCGCGCGUAGGCGGCUUGAUAAGAUGGGUGUGAAAUCCCCGGGCUUAACCUGGGAACUGCAUCCAUAACUGUCUGGCUAGAGUACAGUAGAGGGUGGUGGAAUUUCCUGUGUAGCGGUGAAAUGCGUAGAUAUAGGAAGGAACACC
rnacentral:rRNA from 2 species